CCUACGGGUGGCAGCAGUGAGGAAUAUUGGUCAAUGGACGAGAGUCUGAACCAGCAACGUAGCGUGAAGGAUGAAUGCCCUAUGGGUUGUAACCUUCUUUUAUAUGGACAUAAAACGUUCCACGUGUGGGAUUUUGUAUGUACCAUAUGAAUAAGGAUCGGCUAACUCCGUGCCAUCAGCCGCGGUAAUACGGAGGGUCCGAGCGUUAUCCGGAUUUAUUGGGUUUAAAGGGAGCGUAGGUGGCUUGUUAAGUCAGUUGUGAAAGUUUGCGGCUCAACCGUAAAAUUGCAGUUGAAACUGGGAGUCUUGAGUACAGGAGAGGUUGGCGGAAUUCGGGGUGUAGCGGUGAAAUGCUUAGAUAUCACGAAGAACUCCGAUUGCGAAGGCAGUGAACUGGACUGCAACUGACACUGAGGCUCGAAAGUGUGGGGAGCAAACAGGAUUAGAUACCCGUGUAGUC
rnacentral:rRNA from 1 species